rnacentral:lncRNA from 1 species
AUUAUAUGCCUAAAAGCUAAAGAAAAAUAAAAAUAGGUUAUGUAUCUUUAUCUGAAUUAUUGAAAAAUAAAAAAUAGACAUUUAAUACAUUCCCGCUCGUAAUAUUGAAUUAAAUGUCUUUUGUUAGCAUUAGUAUUGAUUGCUAUCAUUAUUUAAUUUACUAAUAUUAAUGGCUAUAAAACUUAUUGGAGCAUUCAAAAGUUCUAAAUCAAACCUUGAAAUAAUACCUUAAAAGAUAAAAUUAUGAAAUUUUUUAAGAAAUAUUUAUAAAUUACAUUAAAAUAAGUAUAUUUGUAUAUUAAAU